CCGGCCAAUAUUGUCACUCUAACGUGCACUCGCGCCUUCCCUCGGCUCUACAGGGCAUCGCAGCCACCGAGCCCAGCCCCUCCCCGGCCUAUGCCAGCCGCCUGGUCGCCCUCCAGUCUGCGGAGCCAGGCCUGGCCUGACAGCAGCAGCUGUUUUCUUCCCGAAGCCGCAGCGCUCAAGGGCGUGGUUGCGGUAGAGACCUCGGAUCCCACUUGGCCUGUGCGGACCCUACCGCGCCAACCCCUCGUCUUAGGCCCGAGAGGCCCGACAGCCAGGUGGGGGUGGUCUGGGCAGACUGGUCGACAUCGCAAGUCAGUUCGGACUGGGAGGGCCAGCUGCCCACAGCACGGUCUCCGGGAGGCCUCUGGAGCAGCGCGAGAAGCCCUUCAGAUGCGAGUUCGAGGGCUGCGAGCGGCGCUUCGCCAACAGCAGCGACCGUAAGAAGCAUUCGCACGUGCACACUAGCGACAAGCCAUACACGUGCAAGGUGCGGGGCUGCGACAAGUGCUACACGCACCCCAGCUCGCUGCGUAAGCACAUGAAGGUGCACGGGCGCUCGCCGCCGCCCAGCUCUGGCUACGAUUCGGCUACACCGUCUGCCCUCGUGUCGCCCUCGUCGGACUGUGGCCACGAGUCCCAGGUGGCCUCCUCGGCGGCGGUGGCGGCGCGUAGCGCCGACUUGAGCGAAUGAUGUCCACCGCGUUGCUC
rnacentral:sRNA from 1 species